rnacentral:piRNA from 1 species
UAAAUAUGUUUUUAAAACAGUGUGCUU